ensembl:snoRNA predicted gene, 23786
ACGUGCUGCCUUUGAGCCCCCUGUAGUGCUGGGGAUUAAGCUGUGGCGCCAUAGCACUUUGCAGGCGCAUAACUGGGGCCCGCCUGUCUUUCCCAGGCAGCCCUUUUAACCUAGCUACAGGC